AUUGAACGCUGGCGGCAGGCCUAACACAUGCAAGUCGAACGGUAACAGGGAGCAGCUUGCUGCUUUGCUGACGAGUGGCGGACGGGUGAGUAAUGUCUGGGAAACUGCCCGAUGGAGGGGGAUAACUACUGGAAACGGUAGCUAAUACCGCAUAACGUCGCAAGACCAAAGAGGGGGACCUUAGGGCCUCUUGCCAUCGGAUGUGCCCAGAUGGGAUUAGCUAGUAGGUGGGGUAACGGCUCACCUAGGCGACGAUCCCUAGCUGGUCUGAGAGGAUGACCAGCCACACUGGAACUGAGACACGGUCCAGACUCCUACGGGAGGCAGCAGUGGGGAAUAUUGCACAAUGGGCGCAAGCCUGAUGCAGCCAUGCCGCGUGUAUGAAGAAGGCCUUCGGGUUGUAAAGUACUUUCAGCGGGGAGGAAGGGAGUAAAGUUAAUACCUUUGCUCAUUGACGUUACCCGUAGAAGAAGCACCGGCUAACUCCGUG
rnacentral:rRNA from 1 species